ACCGAAAGCCUGAGGCUAAUAUCCUCGGGUCAUGACGGUACCGUAAGAUAAGCACCGGCUACUACGUGCCAGCAGCCGCGGUAAUACGUAGGGUGCAAGCGUAAUCGGAAUUACUGGGCGUAAAGCGUGCGCAGGCGGUUUGUAAGACAGUGGUGAAAUCCCCGGGCUCAACCUGGGAACUGCCAUUGUGACUGCAAGGCUGGAGUGCGGCAGAGGGGGAUGGAAUUCCGCGUGUAGCAGUGAAAUGCGUAGAUAUGCGGAGGAACACCGAUGGCGAAGGCAAUCCCCUGGGCCUGCACUGACGCUCAUGCACGAAAGCGUGGGGAGCAAACAGGAUUAGAUACCCUGGUAGUCCACGCUCUAAACGAUGUCAACUGGUUGUUGGGAAUUAACUUUCUCAGUAACGAAGCUAACGCGUGAAGUUGACCGCCUGGGGAGUACGGCCGCAAGGUUAAAACUCAAAGGAAUUGACGGGGACCCGCACAAGCGGUGGAUGAUGUGGUUUAAUUCGAUGCAACGCGAAAAACCUUACCCACCUUUGACAUGGCAGGAACUUACCAGAGAUGGUUUGGUGCUCGAAAGAGAACCUGCACACAGGUGCUGCAUGGCUGUCGUCAGCUCGUGUCGUGAGAUGUUGGGUUAAGUCCCGCAACGAGCGCAACCCUUGCCAUUAGUUGCUACAUUCAGUUGAGCACUCUAAUGGGACUGCCGGUGACAAACCGGAGGAAGGUGGGGAUGACGUCAAGUCCUCAUGGCCCUUAUAGGUGGGGCUACACACGUCAUACAAUGGCUGGUACAAAGGGUUGCCAACCCGCGAGGGGGAGCUAAUCCCAUAAAGCCAGUCGUAGUCCGGAUCGCAGUCUGCAACUCGACUGCGUGAAGUCGGAAUCGCUAGUAAUCGUGGAUCAGAAUGUCACGGUGAAUACGUUCCCGGGUCUUGUACACACCGCCCGUCACACCAUGGGAGCGGGUCUCGCCAGAAGUAGGUAGCCUAACCGCGAGGAGGGCGCUUACCACGGCGGGGUUCGUGACUGGGGUGAAGUCGUAACAAGGUAA
rnacentral:rRNA from 1 species